rnacentral:misc_RNA from 1 species
CUGUGAUUUAGUACUACACUGGCGGUGGAGCGGAACGAAAACAANAACACCUAAAAUNUGGAAUAUAGUCAUAUAGUCGACAAGGAGGAAAUCUACGUAAAAACAAACAAAACUUUCAACAACGGUAUCUCUUGGUUCUCGCAUCGAUGNAGANCGCAGCGAAA